rnacentral:rRNA from 1 species
UGAAUACGAGACGCUAAGGCGUCGAAGUAGUGUAUGUCAUACUUCCAAGAAAAGCUUGCACUGUCAUAGAUAAAAAACGCCUGUACCAUAACCGACACAGGUGGGUAGGUAGAGUAUACUAAGGGGCGCGAGAUAACUCUCUCUAAGGAACUCGGCAAAAUAACUCCGUAACUUCGGGAGAAGGAGUGCCUUAUUAUUAAGGCUGCAAUAACAAGAUCCAAGCAACUGUUUAUCAAAAACACAGGUCUCCGCUAAGUCGUAAGACGAUGUAUGGGGGCUGACGCCUGCCCAGUGCCAGAAGGUUAAAGAAGUUGGUUAGCAUUUGCGAAGCUGAUAACUGAAGCCCUGGUGAACGGCGGCCGUAACGAUAACGGUCCUAUGGUAGCGAAAUUCCUUGUCGGGUAAGUUCCGACCCGCACGAAAGGCGUAAUGAUUUGGAUACUGUCUCGGAGAGGGGCUCGGUGAAAUAGACUUGUCUGUGAAGAUGCGGACUACCUGCACCAGGACAGAAAGACCCUAUGAAGCUUUACUGUAACUUGAAAUUGAAAUUGGACUUUAUUCGCGCAGCAUAGGUGGGAGGCGUUGAUUAUAAUCUUGUGGGAUUAUUGGAGCCAUCAGUGAGAUACCACUCUUGUAAUGUUAGAUUUCUAACUUUGAAUCAUUAUCUGGUCAAAGAACAGUUUCAGGCGGGCAGUUUGACUGGGGCGGUCGCCUCCUAAACGGUAACGGAGGCGUACAAAGGUUUCCUCUGAACGGUUAGAAAUCGUAUCUAGAGUGUAAAGGCAUAAGGAAGCUUGACUGUGAGACCUACAAGUCGAGCAGGGACGAAAGUCGGUCUUAGUGAUCUGACGGUACUGAGUGGAAAGGCCGUCACUCAACGGAUAAAAGUUACUCUAAGGAUAACAGGCUGAUCUCCCCCAAGAGUUCACAUCGACGGGGAGGUUUGGCACCUCGAUGUCGGCCCAUCGCAUCCUGGGGCGGUAGUACGUCCCAAGGGUUGGGCUGUUCGCCCAUGAAAGCGGUACGCGAGCUGGGUUCAGAACGUCGUGAGACAGUUCGGUCCAUAUCCGGUGUAGGCGUUAGAAUAUUGAGAGGAGCCUUCUUUAGUACGAGAGGACCGAGAAGGACAUACCUCUGGUGUACCAGUUAUCGUGCCAACGGUAAACGCUGGGUAGCUAUGUAUGGAGUGGAUAACCGCUGAAAGCAUCUAAGUGGGAAGCCCACCUCAAGAUAAGUAUUCUCA